ensembl:lncRNA
CUAAGUUAAGCGGUUCGAGCUGAAUUAAGCGCAGAAAAUCGGUAAAGAGAAUAACUAGAAAAUGCAUUUCCUGAAGGAAAUACCAGUGCAUGAAAUGCAAAAGUUAAGAAAGGAAGAAAAAAAAGAAAGAAGAGUGAAGAAGCAAAGAAGAAAGGAAAGAAGAGUAAAAGAAGGAAAGAAGAGUGGAAGAAAGGAAAGAAGAGUGGAAGAAGGAAGGAAGAGUGGAAGAAGGAAAGAAGAAAAGAAAGAAGAGUGAAAGAAAGGAAAGAAGAGUGGAAGAAGGAAAGAAGAAAGGAAAGAAGAGUGAACAAGAGUGGCUAUGGAUAAAGAGAUAUAUAGUGAAGAGGGAAAAUAUUGAAAGAAGGAGAGAAAAUGGAGUGAAGCAGAGAGAUGGAGUGUGAGAGAAAGUAGACUGAGAGAGAUAAAGAGAAAGAUGGAGAGAUGGAGAGAAAAAGAAGUAGAGAAUGGAAGGUGUCUCUUAAUAUUCCUAGUUAUACAGUUGAAUGGAGAGGGACAGAGAGAAGAGGAGCCUUGGAACCUUGGCGCAGGUGUCAGUGAAGCACAGGUGCAAGCCAGUUUAAAGACCCUAUUAUGAUGUCAUAAUGGCCCAAUGUAAGUCAAUGGGAGAAAUUGUAUUAGUUUUUCUUUAAUAUUUUGAAAAGUAUAAAGUUUAGAAAAAUGAAAAAUACAUAGCAUAAGUGUCCUUAACAAGACCUAUGCAGCAAAGUUUGAACGAAGUUUCUACGUUAAGCGGUUCGAGCUGAAUU